UCGUAUAUACUGAAGAAAUGAAUGGCAAAAACACGUUUUGGGAAGUUGAUGGAAGUAUGGUGCCCCCUGAAUGGUAAACCACUUGGCUUAAUUAUUUGGACAGACACCAAUUGUGCAUCGCUGGCUCCACUCAAUGACUGAUGACCCUCCAACUACUCAUCCACCGGUUGCUCGUAAAUUUAUCUGGGAGAACCAUAAAUUCAACCUGAGUGGCACCCCUGG